GCCUGGGUGGCUCAGUCAGUGAAGCGUCUGACUUCCGCUCAGGUCAUGAUUUCAUGACUUUGUGAGUUCGAGUCCCGCGUCGGGCU
rnacentral:tRNA from 1 species